rnacentral:rRNA from 1 species
CAGUAGCCGCGGGAAUACGUAGGUGGCAAGCGUUGUCCGGAAUUAUUGGGCGUAAAGGGCUCGCAGGCGGUUUCUUAAGUCUGAUGUGAAAGCCCCCGGCUCAACCGGGGAGGGUCAUUGGAAACUGGGAAACUUGAGUGCAGAAGAGGAGAGUGGAAUUCCACGUAUAGCGGUGAAAUGCGUAGAGAUGUGGAGGAACACCAGUGGCGAAGGCGACUCUCUGGUCUGUAACUGACGCUGAGGAGCGAAAGCGUGGGGAGCGAACAGGAUUAGAUACCCGCGUAGUCCCUGUCUCUUAUAC